rnacentral:lncRNA from 12 species
AUUACUUUUGCUACCACAAGACACAAAAUGAUGAUGUAUUUCAGUGAACAAAGGAAGGAGAUGCAUCUAAGCAGUCUAGUGUUUGGUGGUGGUGAUCCCAGCAGUUACGAGUUGUGCCCUGGGUGUAAUGUAUCAGGUAUUUUUGGUGCUCUGUGGAAAGAAAAACUGACAAUCUAAUUAUGCAGAUUU